rnacentral:rRNA from 1 species
AGUCGAGCGAGUGAACUAACUGAUUCCUUCGGGAUGACGUUAGUGGAUCUAGCGGCGGACGGGUGAGUAACACGUGGGCAACCUGCCUGUAAGACUGGGAUAACUCGCGGAAACGUGAGCUAAUACCGGAUGAUACUUUGAACUGCAUGGUUCGAAGAUGAAAGGCGGCGCAAGCUGUCACUUACAGAUGGGCCCGCGGCGCAUUAGCUAGUUGGUGAGGUAACGGCUCACCAAGGCGACGAUGCGUAGCCGACCUGAGAGGGUGAUCGGCCACACUGGGACUGAGACACGGCCCAGACUCCUACGGGAGGCAGCAGUAGGGAAUCUUCCGCAAUGGACGAAAGUCUGACGGAGCAACGCCGCGUGAGUGAUGAAGGUUUUCGGAUCGUAAAACUCUGUUGUUAGGGAAGAACAAGUACAAGAGUAACUGCUUGUACCUUGACGGUACCUAACCAGAAAGCCCCGGCUAACUACGUGCCAGCAGCCGCGGUAAUACGUAGGGGGCAAGCGUUGUCCGGAAUUAUUGGGCGUAAAGCGCGCGCAGGCGGUCCUUUAAGUCUGAUGUGAAAGCCCACGGCUUAACCGUGGAGGGUCAUUGGAAACUGGAGGACUUGAGUACAGAAGAGGAGAGUGGAAUUCCACGUGUAGCGGUGAAAUGCGUAGAGAUGUGGAGGAACACCAGUGGCGAAGGCGACUCUCUGGUCUGUAACUGACGCUGAGG